rnacentral:rRNA from 1 species
GUAGGGAAUAUUGGACAAUGGGCGAAAGCCUGAUCCAGCCAUGCCGCGUGAUAGAUGAAGGCCCUCUGGGUUGUAAAUAUCUUUUAUCUGGGAAGAAACUCCUCUAUUCUUAGAGGCCUGACGGUACCAGAGGAAUAAGCACCGGCUAACUCCGUGCCAGCAGCCGCGGUAAUACGGAGGGUGCAAGCGUUAUCCGGAUUCACUGGGUUUAAAGGGUGCGUAGGCGGGUUGAUAAGUCAGUGGUGAAAGCUCCGGGCUUAACUUGGAAACUGACAUUGAUACUGUCAAUCUUGAAUGUCGUAGAGGUAAGCGGAAUGUUGCAUGUAGCGGUGAAAUGCUUAGAUAUGUUACAGAACACCAAUUGCGAAGGCAGCUUACUAUGCGAUAAUUGACGCUGAGGCACGAAAGCGUGGGGAGCAAACAGGAUUAGAUACCCCGGUAGUCC